GAUGAACGCUGGCGGCGUGCCUAACACAUGCAAGUCGAACGAAGCACCUUACCUGAUUCUUCGGAUGAAAGUUUGGUGACUGAGUGGCGGACGGGUGAGUAACGCGUGGGUAACCUGCCCUGUACAGGGGGAUAACAGCUGGAAACGGCUGCUAAUACCGCAUAAGCGCACGAGGAGACAUCUCCUUGUGUGAAAAACUCCGGUGGUACAGGAUGGGCCCGCGUCUGAUUAGCUGGUUGGCAGGGUAACGGCCUACCAAGGCAACGAUCAGUAGCCGGUCUGAGAGGAUGAACGGCCACAUUGGAACCGAGACACGGUCCAAACUCCUACGGGAGGCAGCAGUGGGGAAUAUUGCACAAUGGGGGAAACCCUGAUGCAGCAACGCCGCGUGAGUGAAGAAGUAUUUCGGUAUGUAAAGCUCUAUCAGCAGGGAAGAUAAUGACGGUACCUGACGAAGAAGCUCCGGCUAAAUACAUG
rnacentral:rRNA from 1 species